GGAUGCGCGGCAUGUAUUUACCACGGAUAACGGAACCAUGCCGAUGCUCGAGCGUUCCUUAUUGCGCGCGCGAACGAGAAAACGGGACGGAGACACGCAACGUUGAAAAAAGAAACGAGGAAGAACUCGUACGGUAUCGUCAUCCGCUUGAACGAACUCUCAAAGAAUUUCUGUGGGUCGAAGAUUACGGCAUCGACGGUAAAAGUAAAAUCGCAUUCGCUGACAGCAUCGAAUAAUAACGAAUUUUCGUUGUACUGUACCGGUCGAUUGUUUUCGACGGGUAACGGUAAUCGAUAAGAAGCUACUCAUUCGAGUUGAUCUAUCUGGGAAAUUGCACCGUCGAGAGCCUGCACGAUAUCUCGAUAUCUCGAACGGUUUUGGAGGCAAUCAGAUCCGAGCCCUUUACUCGAGUCGUGUAAUUAGCAAGCAUAAUUUAAUGCGUGAAGUUUAAAUUGAAGUUUUGAGAUCGCCCUUCCGGAAGCGUGGACAAACAAGGAAGAAGUACAAAGAGGUUCAAAGAAACAUUUAAAGUGUCCAACUAUACGGCUCACGCUUUCAACGACUAUGAAAGAGUUUUUUAAAUUAAAAAUUGUCUGGUACUUGGAAUAUGAACUGGUCGACAGCCAUGUUUCAAAAUGAAAAGCAAUAUGUAAAAGAAGGAAUCUCAUUAAAACUUGUUACAGAUGAAUAUAACUGCGUUGCAACUUUUAACCGCGGACGCUUGUAUAAUUCAUUCUUUCACAUAAAUCACAGCCUGUUUUCGAGCAAUGUUACCGUAACUGCAUACAAAACGAUAACACAGUUACCUUCGCUCGCGUUUCAAGGUAUAAAAUUUCCAUAAAUUUAACCAGUCGCGAUUUAACGCUGGCUAGCGAAACUUUAAAGUCCGUUGAGAAAGUAUAAGGUUACCGCGAAUUCAACGAUAUCCGUCUUCUUCAUAGUGCGAAGGGGCAAGAAUAGAAUUGCAAACACCAGUCCGGUAAUUAACGGCAAAAGUAUUGACAAAAAAAGAAGGAAAGUUCAACGCCGUGAGUUAGAUUUAAUUAAUAACCAUCGAACGUAACCCGUCGUGGUAGUCUACCAGUCGUCGGGGAACUGCAUUUUCUAAAUUAAUUUCCGCCCGACUCGAAACCAUGUUUUCUGUCCUUGAUAUUUCCAACGAUUUCCGGCGACGAGGAAACUUGAUGACCCUUCAUGCGCUCCUAAAGCGAUUUUUAUCGUUGGAACCGAAUGGUACCGGGUCGAUACGAAAUCACAAAGGUCAGACGGAAUUUCUAGACAAAGAAUGACACAAGUAUACCUAGCAGUUUUUUAACUUUGUUUCAGAUUUCAGCUGUUGAUAAAAAUGUAUGUGCCAGUUUCAGAAAAGAACAUUCCUUUAAACCGUCUAUGACAAAGUUUUGCGAACACCUUUGAGAAGAUACUUGUGUCAGAAUUCAAUUAGAACGAGCAAAAUCGAUUCCGAUAUCAUCUUUAUAAAAAGAACGAAACCGGUUUCUGCAAAUUCUGUUAGACGGUGCGUAGUGUAUUUCGUGCUCACAAUCACAGAAACAGUUUACACCCGUUGGUCGAUUUGCACGGAAAGAGAAUGAUUCGAGUCAAAAGAAGUUCACAUCACCAUAACUAAGGAUCAUUAAGCAAAUGUAGAGGAUGAUGUAUUCACAAGAUCAUUUGUACAGUCGUUGUAUAUUACGCAUGACGCCACUUCACUUUCAAUUGUAUUUUUGCAAGUUAGAAACUGGCGUAAAGUGAUCAUAAUAAAUUGUGGCAUCCUCACGACGAAGCGUUACCAUCAUAGAAAUUUCGAUCGAUGACAAUCAUCCAUUCAUAACCCAUCUCUCGGGGACAGCAAGACG